CAACCCUCAAGCUCUGCUUGGUAUUGGGCUCCGUCCUCAGGGACGCGCCUCAAAGACCUCGGCGGUGGCGUCUUGCCUCAAGCGUAGUAGAAAACACCUCGCUUUGGAGUGCAUGGCGUCGCCCGCCGGACGAACCUUUGAAUUUUUCUCAA
rnacentral:misc_RNA from 1 species